GCCUAACGGCUGAACUGGCAACUUGGAGAAGUGGCAAGUUUUAUAAUUAAUAGUAAUGAAGGCGCAAGCUCUUCUAUUUUUAUAAGAUUCUAUUAGAAUUGAAUGAAGCUUUGUUUAUAUAUUGAUAAUGACAGUAUAUAUAUCGUGUCUUGACUAAUUGCGUGCCAGCAGUCGCGGUAAUACGUAAGAGACUAGUGUUAUUCAUCUUAAUUAGGUUUAAAGGGUACCCAGACGGUCAAUAUAGCUUCUACAAUGUUAGUACUUGACUAGAGUUUUAUGUAAGAGGGCAGUACUUGAGGAGGAGAGAUGAAAUUUCGUGAUACCAAAGGGACUCUGUAAAGGCGAAGGCAGCCCUCUAUGUAGAAACUGACGUUGAAGGACGAAGGCACAGAGAACAAACAGGAUUAGAUACCCAAGUAGUCUUUGCAGUAAAUGAUGAAUGCCAUAGGUCAGAUCUAUAGUUAAUGCUCUGCGGUGAAAACAUGCCAGGAUUGAAUCUAUCGAACCUGUGCUAGAUUUUUUUGUCUGCUGGAUCUUUCGAAACAUGCUAUAAAAAAUAAGAAGCCUGUAUACAUUAAAAUAAUUUGGUCUAUAAAUGAAAGUGUAAGCAUUUCACCUCAAGAGUAAUGUGGCAACGCAGGAACUGAAAUCACUAGACCGUUUCUGACACCAGUAGUGAAGU
rnacentral:rRNA from 1 species